rnacentral:rRNA from 1 species
AUUCAACGCUGGGGGCAGGCCUAACACAUGCAAGUCGAGCGAGCGGCGGACGGGUGAGUAAUGUCUGGGAAACUGCCUGAUGGAGGGGGAUAACUACUGGAAACGGUAGCUAAUACCGCAUACCAUCAGAUGUGCCCAUAUGUGAUUAGCUAGUAGGUGGGGUAAUGGCUCACAUAGGCAACGAUCCCUAGCUGGUCUGAGAGGAUGACCAGCCACACUGGAACUGAGACACGGUACAGACUCCUACGGGAGGCAGCAGUGGGGAAUAUUGCACAAUGGGCGCAAGCCUGAUGCAGCCAUGCCGCGUGUGUGAAGAAGGCCUUCGGGUUGUAAAGCACUUUCAUCGGGGUGUCGUUACCCGCAGAUGAACAACCGGCGAACUCCAUGCCAGCAGCCGCGGUUAUUC